rnacentral:lncRNA from 1 species
CUAUCAUUGCAGAGCUGAGCUUUACUCUUCUCUCCCCCUCUUAUUCUGCUAAGGACCAUCUCAAACUUGACCAAGAAAUGGGCAAUUCCCAUUUAUCUGCUGUGCUGGUUUUGUGUUGGCUGAGGACCCUGGAUGGACUCCAUCAAGUCAUGUGCUCUGUACCCAUCUGUGCCACUGGCCUUCUUCCAGCUGGAUAUGCUACCUUCAGGCCAUUUUCAAUGUCUGUGUGGAGAUGCUGGACAUUUCUGGCUCCUUUUACCUCGGGUUGAGGAGAGACAGGUUGCCCAAAGCAGCUGCUCCUGGCAAUCCUCGUUGUCAUCCUGACAGAGACAGAGCAAGGAAGAUGUGGCUCCAAGAAUUGCCCAGAGCCAGCUGGUUGGAAGAGGUAAUUAACCAUUUUUGCAAACUCUGAGAUGCUGGAGCCA